GAUGAAGAACGCAGCGAAAUGCGAUAAGUAAUGUGAAUUGUAGAAUUCAGUGAAUCAUCGAAUCUUUGAACGCACCUUGCGCCCUUUGGCUAUUCUGAAGGGCAUGCCUGUUUGAGUAUCGUGAACACCUCAACUCUCAUGGUCUGCCAUGAUGAGCUUGGACUUUGGGGGUCUUGCUGGCCUACUGUCAGCUCCUCUCAAAUGAAUCAGCUUACCAGUGUUUGGUGGCACCACAGGUGUGAUAACUAUCUACGCUUGUGGUUUUCUGCCAGGUAACCUCCAGUGAUGGAGGUUCGCUGGAGCUCACAAAUGUCUCUCCUCAGCGAGGACAGCUUUUUGAACGUUUGAUCUCAAAUCAGGUAGGACUACCCGCUGAACUUAAGCAUAUCAAUAAGCGGAGGA
rnacentral:misc_RNA from 1 species